AAUUGGAGGGCAAGUCUGGUGCCAGCAGCCGCGGUAAUUCCAGCUCCAAUAGCGUAUAUUAAAGUUGUUGCAGUUAAAAAGCUCGUAGUUGAAUUUCGGGAUUGACGUGAUGGUCGUGCCUUACGGGGUAUGAACUGUUGCUGUUGAUUUCUCACCUUCUGGAGAAACUUGAUGUUCUUAAUUGGGUGUCUUGCGGAUCCAGGACCUUUACCUUGAAAAAAUUAGAGUGUUUAAAGCAGGCAUUUUGCUCGAAUACAUUAGCAUGGAAUAAUAGAAUAGGACGGCAUGGUUCUAUUUUGUUGGUUUCUAGGAUCACCGUAAUGAUUAAUAGGGAUAGUUGGGGGCAUUAGUAUUCAAUUGUCAGAGGUGAAAUUCUUGGAUUUAUUGAAGACUAACUACUGCGAAAGCAUUUGCCAAGGAUGUUUUCAUUAAUCAAGAACGAAAGUUAGGGGAUCGAAGACGAUCAGAUACCGUCGUAGUCUUAACCAUAAACUAUGCCGACUAGGAAUCAGACGAUGUUAAUUUUUUAAUGACUCGUUUGGCACCUUACGGGAAACCAAAGUGU
rnacentral:rRNA from 1 species